rnacentral:rRNA from 1 species
UACGUAGGGGGCAAGCGUUGUCCGGAAUCACUGGGCGUAAAGCGCACGUAGGCGGAUCUUUUAAGUCAAGGGUGAAAUCCUGGAGCUCAACUCCAGAACUGCCUUUGAUACUGGGGAUCUCGAGUCCGGGAGAGGUGAGUGGAACUCCGAGUGUAGAGGUGAAAUUCGUAGAUAUUCGGAAGAACACCAGUGGCGAAGGCGGCUCACUGGCCCGGUACUGACGCUGAGGUGCGAAAGCGUGGGGAGCA